CGGGGCGUAGCGCAGUCCGGUAGCGCACUCGCUUUGGGAGCGAGGGGUCGCCGGUUCAAGUCCGGCCGCCCCGAC
rnacentral:tRNA from 1 species